rnacentral:rRNA from 1 species
UACGAAGGGGGGCAAGCGUUGUUCGGAAUUACUGGGCGUAAAAGGGCGCGUAGGCGGCCGAUCAAGUCAGGCGUGAAAAUUCCCCGGGCUCAACCUGGGGGGGCUGCGCUUGAUACUGAUUUGGCUUGAAAUGCGGGGAGAGGAUAGUGGAAAUUUCCCCAGUGUAGAGGUGAAAAUUCGUAGAUAUUGGGGAAAGAACACCGGUGGCGAAGGCGGCUCACUGGCCAGUUUCUGACGCUGCAGCGCGAAAGCGUGGGGAUCAAACAGGGAU